ensembl:lincRNA Gm13219 predicted gene 13219
UCCUGAAAAUUUUCCCUUGUGAAUUCAAAUGAACUGGGAAACUAGAACAACGGAUCAACUUUGGUCUCUCAAAGUCUCUUCCAAAGGAUCUGCAGAGAUCCCUUUCUGCUGUACCAACACCAUGGUGUUUCCUGGCUCUCCCUCCUCAUCAUGGCCGUUCAUUACCGCCUAGCCUCUAAGGUUCUGCACUUUCAUACACCCUGCCCUUUGGCUUGGCCCUUCAAUCAACAAGUCCUGCAUACCUGAUUGAUCUAGACCUGAAUAUCAUAUCAUAAAAGAUCUCCUGGGCAUUUACUGCUUUCCUUGGAACUUCUAAUUCCAUUCCAAGAUGUUUGUGUCCUUUGGGGUGUUGAUGUUUGCUUUUUCUUUGACACAGUGUCUCUCUAAGCAGCCCAGGUGAGCCUUGCGCUUGUAAUCAUUCUGAUGUUUUCCCUCACAUGCUUGGAUUACAGGCAUGUCCGACUCUAUGAAGCUUGUCUAUGUGAUUUUAUGUUCAUGUUGGUGUACAUGCACAUAUGUUCCUCUGGGUGAUGUUGCAUCUGUAUGUGCAUGUAUAUGGAGGCCAGAAGACAAUCUCAGGUAUCAGUCCUUAGGAUCGAUCCACCAUUAGUUGAUUGACUAUUCUGAAAGAGUGUCCUUGACAGGCCUGAGGCUAGUAGGUUAGGCUGGCGGGCCAGCAAAGCCCACGUAUCUGCCUGACUAGGAUGGGAAUUACAAGUGUGCGCCACUUUCUUUUUCUUUUUCUUUUUUAGCAUGGGUUGAGCAGAUCAAACUCAGCUCCUCAUGGUUGCAAGGCAAACACUUUACUAGUUGAGCAGUCUCCCCAGGGUCUAAUUCAUCUGAUUUAAAGGAAUAAAAUAAGUGGGAUUUUGUGUGUCUCCAUAGGUGCUAUUAGGAAGUACCUUAUAGUAAAACUAUCAAAGUAGAAUUCAAAGAACACUACAGAGAACAGUGAGUUUCUACUAUUAAAAGUUUUAAAGAACUUCACAACCAUUUUAUACCUAUAUAGAGCACUAAUCAUAAUAUAUGCAUUCAUAAACCAGGCUUUGGCUGCUAAGCACCUGUCACCUAAAACAUUAUAGAUGCUCAACAAAUAUUCAUAAAAUGCUAAGAGCAUUCAUAAGCAUAUCAAUAUAUGUUAAUCAGUUCUCACUUAAUAAAAAUGACUUAUAAUCAGAUUGCCUCAAUGGGAGAAAAAAAUAAUCUGUUGCAGCAGAGGAACAAGUAUCUGUCCAAAGAAACCCCACAGUGUCUGUCUUUAAAUACCAAAGUAGCAUUACUGCAGGUAUAUACCAUGGUACUAGAAAUUAGCAUUUUUUAAAAAAUAUACAAACUAGCCAAGAACGAUAGACCAAUAGGGAAAAGUGCUUUUCAGAAAGCCUGAUAAUCUGACUUUGACUCACAGAGCCCACUGUAAAAGAAGAAAAUUAAGUCUGUAAAGUUGCACAUAUGCUGUAGCAUAUGCACACAUAUAUUUAUAUAUCAUGUGCAUACAUACAUAGUAACAANNNNNNNNNNNNNNNNNNNNUAAAAAUAUAUACAGCAUGUUGUCAAUUUAGCCAAGUAUAUUGAAAGUAUCUUGAAAUAAAAGCCAGUUACAAUUUUUAAUUUGUUUAAAUAUGUACAUUGGUCUCAGACAGUGGCACAUAGCAAGAAGGUAUUUAAUGAAAGUGUAUUCCAUCAGAUUAAUUCACAUGAAUCAAAACUCAGUUUUCAUGCCCUAAGUGUAGCAAACAGGUUUCUCAACUGUUGGGGAAACAUCAGAUUCUCCUUUCUGUUUUAUCUACUUUACUUCCUCUGCCAAGUUUCAUAAGACUUGAGAAAAUGAAAUAAAAGAAUCUCAG